rnacentral:rRNA from 1 species
ACGCACGCUGGCGGCGUGCUUAACCCCUGCAAGUCGAACGGAAAGGCCCUGCUUGCAGGGUACUCGAGUGGCGAACGGGUGAGUAACACGUGGGUGAUCUGCCCUGCACUUCGGGAUAAGCCUGGGAAACUGGGUCUAAUACCGGAUAGGAGCCAUUUUUAGUGUGAUUGUUGGAAAGUUUUUUCGGUGUAGGAUGAGCUCGCGGCCUAUCAGCUUGUUGGUGGGGUAAUGGCCUACCAAGGCGGCGACGGGUAGCCGGCCUGAGAGGGUGGACGGCCACAUUGGGACUGAGAUACGGCCCAGACUCCUACGGGAGGCAGCAGUGGGGAAUAUUGCACAAUGGGCGCAAGCCUGAUGCAGCGACGCCGCGUGGGGGAUGACGGCCUUCGGGUUGUAAACUCCUUUCGCUAGGGACGAAGCUUUUGUGACGGUACCUAGAUAAGAAGCACCGGCUAACUACGUG